rnacentral:rRNA from 1 species
AGUAGUGGCGAAUGAAGCGGGAAAAGCUCAAGUUUGAAAUCUGGUAGGUAAAACUGUCCAGAGUUGUAAGCUGGAGAGGCGAUGUCCGACGCGGUCCAGGCUCAAUUCCCUUGGAACAGGAGGUCAUGGAGGGUGAGAACCCCGUACAUGGCUUGGGUACCGCCGUCCUUGUGACGCGUCCUCUAAGAGUCGGGUUGUUUGGGAAUGCAGCUCAAAAUGGGUGGUAAAUUUCAUCUAAAGCUAAAUAUUGGCGAGAGACCGAUAGCAAACAAGUAGAGUGAUCGAAAGAUGAAAAGUACUUUGAAAAGAGAGUGAAACAGUACGUGAAAUUGUUGAAAGGGAAGCGUUUGGCAU